GACGAACGCUGGCGGCGUGCUUAACACAUGCAAGUCGAACGGUAAGGCUCCAGCUUGCUGGGGUACACGAGUGGCGAACGGGUGAGUAACACGUGGGUGACCUGCCCUGCACUUCGGGAUAAGCCUGGGAAACUGGGUCUAAUACCGGAUAGGACCGCACCGUGAGGGUGUGGUGGAAAGUUUUUUCGGUGUGGGAUGGGCCCGCGGCCUAUCAGCUUGUUGGUGGGGUAAUGGCCUACCAAGGCGGCGACGGGUAGCCGGCCUGAGAGGGUGGACGGCCACAUUGGGACUGAGACACGGCCCAGACUCCUACGGGAGGCAGCAGUGGGGAAUAUUGCACAAUGGGCGGAAGCCUGAUGCAGCGACGCCGCGUGGGGGAUGACGGCCUUCGGGUUGUAAACUCCUUUCACCAUCGACGAAGGGUUUCUGACGGUAGAUGGAGAAGAAGCACCGGCUAACUACGUGCCAGCAGCCGCGGUAAUACGUAGGGUGCGAGCGUUGUCCGGAAUUACUGGGCGUAAAGAGCUCGUAGGUGGUUUGUCGCGUCGUCUGUGAAAUUCCGGGGCCUAACUCCGGGCGUGCAGGCGAUACGGGCAUAACUUGAGUACUGUAGGGGAGACUGGAAUUCCUGGUGUAGCGGUGAAAUGCGCAGAUAUCAGGAGGAACACCGGUGGCGAAGGCGGGUCUCUGGGCAGUAACUGACGCUGAGGAGCGAAAGCAUGGGGAGCGAACAGGAUUAGAUACCCUGGUAGUCCAUGCCGUAAACGGUGGGCGCUAGGUGUGGGUUUCCUUCCACGGGAUCCGUGCCGUAGCUAACGCAUUAAGCGCCCCGCCUGGGGAGUACGGCCGCAAGGCUAAAACUCAAAGGAAUUGACGGGGGCCCGCACAAGCGGCGGAGCAUGUGGAUUAAUUCGAUGCAACGCGAAGAACCUUACCUGGGCUUGACAUAUACAGGAUCGCGCCAGAGAUGGUGUUUCCCUUGUGGCUUGUAUACAGGUGGUGCAUGGUUGUCGUCAGCUCGUGUCGUGAGAUGUUGGGUUAAGUCCCGCAACGAGCGCAACCCUUGUCUUAUGUUGCCAGCACGUUGUGGUGGGGACUCGUAAGAAACUGCCGGGGUUAACUCGGAGGAAGGUGGGGGUGACGUCAAAUCAUCAUGCCCCUUAUGUCCAGGGCUUCACACAUGCUACAAUGGUCGGUACAGUGGGUUGCCAGUCCGUGAGGGCGAGCUAAUCCCGCAAAGCCGGUCUCAGUUCGGAUCGGGGUCUGCAACUCGACCCCGUGAAGUCGGAGUCGCUAGUAAUCGCAGAUCAGCAACGCUGCGGUGAAUACGUUCCCGGGCCU
rnacentral:rRNA from 1 species